UACGAAGGGGGCUAGCGUUGUUCGGAAUCACUGGGCGUAAAGCGCACGCAGGCGGAUUGAUAAGUCAGGGGUGAAAUCCCGGAGCUCAACUUCGGAAUUGCCUUUUGAUACUGUCUGUCUUGAGUCCGGGAGAGGUGAGUGGAAUUCCUAGUGUAGAGGUGAAAUUCGUAGAUAUUAGGAAGAACACCAGUGGCGAAGGCGGCUCACUGGCCCGGUACUGACGCUCAUGUGCGAAAGCGUGGGGAGCAAACAGG
rnacentral:rRNA from 1 species